rnacentral:rRNA from 1 species
UACAGAGGGGGCGAGCGUUGUUCGGAAUUACUGGGCGUAAAGCGCACGUAGGCGGCUUGGUAUGUCGGGUGUGAAAUCCCCGGGCUCAACCUGGGAACUGCAUCCGAAACUGCCUUGCUCGAGUAUGGGAGAGGGAAGUGGAAUUUCCGGUGUAGCGGUGAAAUGCGUAGAUAUUCGGAAGAACACCAGUGGCGAAGGCGGCUCACUGGACUGGUAUUGACGCUGAGGUGCGAAAGCGUGGGGAGCAAACAGG